rnacentral:rRNA from 1 species
GUAGUCCACGCCGUAAACGAUGUCGACUUGGAGGUUGUGCCCUUGAGGCGUGGCUUCCGGAGCUAACGCGUUAAGUCGACCGCCUGGGGAGUACGGCCGCAAGGUUAAAACUCAAAUGAAUUGACGGGGGCCCGCACAAGCGGUGGAGCAUGUGGUUUAAUUCGAUGCAACGCGAAGAACCUUACCUGGCCUUGACAUCCACGGAAUUUGGCAGAGAUGCCUUAGUGCCUUCGGGAACCGUGAGACAGGUGCUGCAUGGCUGUCGUCAGCUCGUGUUGUGAAAUGUUGGGUUAAGUCCCGCAACGAGCGCAACCCUUAUCCUUUGUUGCCAGUGAUUCGGUCGGGAACUCAAAGGAGACUGCCGGUGAUAAACCGGAGGAAGGUGGGGAUGACGUCAAGUCAUCAUGGCCCUUACGGCCAGGGCUACACACGUGCUACAAUGGCGCAUACAAAGAGAAGCGACCUCGCGAGAGCAAGCGGACCUCAUAAAGUGCGUCGUAGUCCGGAUUGGAGUCUGCAACUCGACUCCAUGAAGUCGGAAUCGCUAGUAAUCGUAGAUCAGAAUGCUACGGUGAAUA